GAUGAACGCUGGCGGCGUGCUUAACACAUGCAAGUCGAACGAUGAACCGGGUGCUUGCACUCGGGGAUUAGUGGCGAACGGAUGAGUAACACGUGAGCAACCUGCCCCUGACUCUGGGAUAAGCGCUGGAAACGGCGUCUAAUACUGGAUAUGUCCCGUCACCGCAUGGUGUGCGGGUGGAAAGAUUUUUCGGUUGGGGAUGGGCUCGCGGCCUAUCAGCUUGUUGGUGAGGUAAUGGCUCACCAAGGCGUCGACGGGUAGCCGGCCUGAGAGGGUGACCGGCAAAACUGGGACUGGGAAACGGCCCAGACGCAUACGGGAGGCAGAAGUGGGGAAUAUUGGACAAUGGGGGGAAGACUGAUGCAGCAACGCCGCGUGAGGGAUGACGGCCUUCGGGUGGUAAACCUCUUUUAGCAGGGAAGAAGCGAGAGUGACGGUACCUGCAGAAAAAGCACCGGCUAACUACGUGCCAGCAGCCGCCGUAA
rnacentral:rRNA from 1 species